CCACCAUCUUCUUGACUUAGCCUUCCACCAUUGCCUACAAAGAUCAUCAGAUUGUUAGGAGGGAUGAGAGGAUUUAAAAAAGAAGAGAGAGAUAGAGAGAAAGAGAGAAGUCUAAGCUUUGAAUUAAAGAAUUGGCCAAAACUUCCCUUUUCCAUAUACACCGAUAUACCAUUUUUUAUAUAUCAAAACCAUCCAAGAAAUUUCAUUAUAUCCAAAUUCUAGUAGCUUUGAUUAAAGGAAGAGUGAUUGUUAUUGAAAGUAAGAAAAUCAUUGAGUUAAACAAUUCCCCCUACACACACUGUUAAACAACCCGAAAACACCAUUCUAGCAAAAAUUCCAAGUUUUUGAAUUGAGGAUUGAGAACAUAAUUCACAACCUGGAGGAUAAUCAAAGGGAAGUUUGGAAAUCAAGAAGUUCAUCAUUUCCUUAGAAGUUCCUAUUCAGAACAUGUAAGCAUGAAUUUGAUUGGUAGGAUCCAUAGCCGCUUGUAUUGCAAAGGCACCAAGCACACUAAUGAGGAUCAAAGCAUCAGGAACAGUCGAUUUCUUUGCUUUAAACUCAUUUAAAAGAUCAAAGGCAGCCUCACAUUCCCAGAAAACAUAGUUGUCCAUACAACACAAUUCUUCUAGGAAAAUGAAUCAAAAAGCCUUCUGGCUUCUACCAUUUUACCUUCUCUACACGAUAUAGAGAGGUGGGCUAGGAAUAAGGAGGAUUACAAAGGUUAAUGACUGUCUUCUUUCCAAAUGGUGGUGGAGGUAUGCUAAUAAAGAUCAUGCUCUAUGGAAAAGAAUUAUUUGUUCAAAGUACGCUGUGAUAGGAGGCAGAUGGUUACCUUUUAUGGGAAUUGGUAACAGAGGCUCUAGGGUCUGGAUUGACAUUCUGAGCAUACUUUGAAAAAAAAUACAAUAAAAAAUAUAAAAAUGAAUGAAGAUACAAUAAAAACUGCAAUCAUCCUAAUACAAAAGGUAAAUUUAUAUGCAUCGCACUCUGGAGAAAUCCACUGCUUUGUGACAUCAUUAAAGUGUUUGGAUUUGUAAACACGUGGCAACUCUGGUAGUUGGCUCCCAUUUGCAGUUGUCUGAUUUUUUUGUUCAACUCGUAAAUUAAAUAAGAAUGAUGGUAGUAGAAUCAACUUUAAAAAAAAAUAAUAAAUAAAAAAAAAAUUUUAAAAAUUAAAGACUCACCACCUCGUGUACCUUAACUGGCAGAGACUUCGACCCACAUCUAUGCUUCAUAUUCAAUUGUUUUCUAUUGUUAAUGUUAGCUAUUGAUUGCUUUUACAAGAAGUAAGUUCCAAUAGAAAAAUAUAUAUAUUACGAAGACAUAAGGUAAUUGUCAACAAUAAAGAAACAUAAGAAAAGUUUACCAACCAAUUGCUAUCAUUCCACUUCUUGUCAAUCAAGUUUUUCCAUUUCUUGAGGUCAUAUCCAGGCGGUGGGUGGCUUCUAGCAUACUCCUCUCCCUUAGCAGUCUUAAGAUUUAGGUAUUUUUUUCAUAGUCUGUAGGUGUGGGUGCUCAAACUCCG